rnacentral:rRNA from 1 species
CAGAGGGGGCAAGCGUUAUUCGGAAUUAUUGGGCGUAAAGGGCGCGUAGGCGGCUUGGCAAGUGGAUGGUGAAAUCCCUCGGCUUAACCGAGGAACUGCCGUCCAAACUGCUUGGCUUGAGACCGGGAGAGGUGAGUGGAAUUCUCGGUGUAGCGGUGAAAUGCGUAGAUAUCGAGAGGAACACCUGCGGCGAAGGCGGGUUGCUGGGCUGACACUGACGCUGAAGCGCGAAAGCCAGGGGAGCGAACGGGAUUAGAUACCCCGGUAGUCCUGGCCUUAAACGAUGGAUGCUUGGUGUCUGGAGUUUUAUAGUCUCCGGGUGCCGUAGCUAACGCGUUAAGCAUCCCGCCUGGGGAGUACGGUCGCAAGACUG